UGGGAUAGCUCAGUGGGUAGAGCAUGAGACUUCUUAAUCUCAGGGUUGUGGGUUUGAGCUCCACACUGGGGAAAA